rnacentral:piRNA from 1 species
UGUAUUACUUAAAUGACACCGUCUGAUGGG